UAGCGGCCUAUCGCAAUGGGAGAAUAGCUAAAAUAACUAAAAAUCUAAGUAAAUACACUGCGUUUAAAUUUUCAGAGUCCGUUUUGUGUGCCGCCUUGAAUCUUGAAUCGCAGCCGCAUUUCUAGAACAUUUGUGUGAGGAAAUAAAACUAAAAAAGAAUAGUCUCCACAAAAAGCGUUGAGACACGAACACGCAUCACAGUUCAAAAAUCAGAAAGCGGCUUUUGUCAGGCUCAAGACAGCGACUCCUUUGAGCCUUUGCUGAUCAACCUGGAGGAUGUGAACUCGGACUUGGCCUUUUUUCUCAGCAAGAACGAUGAGCCCGGCCACCGCUCCAAUUACAACCAUUACGUGUUGCCGCAGCCCAUCUGGAUUGUGGAUAAGAUUCGCUUUGUCUCCAGAGAAUCCAGAGCAGCAUCAUGUGCCGACUAUCACGGUCUUAAUAAGCUGAUCUGAUCAUCUUUGCCAUCGUUUUAAUCAUUUUGUUCUCAUCGGCGAUGCUGAAGCGGUCUAGACGCGUGGCUUAUGCAUGCUGCUGACCUUGUAUUGAUUCACCAGAUCCAACAAUGCAUUAUCCAUGUCCUUAGCUAUGUUUAUAAAUACAUAAAUAAAAAUAUAUAAAUAUGUAAA
rnacentral:sRNA from 1 species